UCUUGCGCUCUCAUGAUGUCUCGGGCUGUGGCAGCAAACGAGAGAAUCGAGAGAAUCGAGAUCCCCAUCUUCCUGGACCUUGCGUAAUUAGCAGGGAGAGUGCCGAUGGAAGCACAACAAAAAGUAAAAUGAAUCUAUUCCAGUGAAAGGAUGCGGAUUAAAAUUGGGAAAGGCAACAGGCACAUAGGGCAGAGUCCCGAGAGAGAAGAGACAUGAGAUCCAGUUGUCCUCUGCCGGUGGACUUGUAUGAACAGCAUUCACUUUUUCCAGCAGCACGUGUGACAACCUGCGUGAAGUAUGGUCAACCAGGAAGCUCCCCUGGGUCUUGUGUUCAGGGCUUUCACUGGGGUUCAGUUAUAGAGGCUUGGAGUAUCUGUAUGCCUGACCUUAAUUACUCAGUCUCCAGGCCUCUAAGUCAGAGGGAUACUGGGGGCUCUCAGUCCCCACCAUAAAUCACAUUAUUAGUGUAAAAUGUCUGGUGUGGCCCAAGGCCCCACAUAAAGAUUUAUCAGACAGAAAUCCAGUAGGUUAUGGCUUAUUUCUCAGGAGCUGGGCACACGCUGUGCUGGCUUUGAAAUGUGUAGGGUGGGAACACAGCAAACCCAUUAAGUCAACUUUUUGCUGCACAAGCUACUUGUUCUACAAUGAAUAACAUAUUUAGUCUUUGUCUUGGGUUCCUGGGAUAUAACCUCUAAGCUCUUGGGAUUUCCGAAGGGAUAGGAGAGUCUUUGGUAUUCGUGGUGGGUGCUGAUAGUUUACAUUAAUGGGGUAACUCGUGGUGAGCCCCUGGGUGGUCAUGCUGAUGAGAUGUCUCAGGCCAUGCCAGAGAGAUGGACCAUGUGAUUGGAGGGUUGGGGCUGUGGGUCACAGGAUAUCAACUUGACCUCCUGACCUCUGAGGGCGGAGGGGGCUGAAGAUUGAGUUCAGUCACAUGACCAGUGAUUGAACCAAUGGUGUGUAUAAAAACUCUAGACACCAAAGCUCGGGGGAGUGUCCUGUUGGGUGAGCACUUUGAUGUGCCAGGAGGGUGGUAUGUCUGGGUUCUUUGAGGUGAAGACAGGGAAGGUCUGCAUUCAGGACAAUCCCGGACCUCUUUCUCCGUGUGUCUUUAUUUGGCUGAUCCUGAUUUGUAUCUUUAGAAUAAAACUGUAAUAAUAAGGAUA